CGUUUAUAACCGCAGCUUCACGUCGUCUCAGAGCCCCGCCCUCUAUCUGACUGUGGGAGACUUGGUGACAAAUCUGAUCAUCAGGGUGGUUGUGGUCCCCUUCCUCCUGAUCACAGGGACCAUCUGCCUCUUCUUCUACUGUCGGGCCAGUGGGGGGCGGAGUCGACUGAAGGCACGCAACACACCAUGAGUGACACCGACACAGUCUACGAACACAGUCUACGAACAAAGUCUAUGAACAAAGUCUAUGAACACAGUCUACAAACACAGUCUACGACCACAGUCUACGAACACAGUCUACAGACACAGUCUACGUCCAUGUCCUCGUCCAUCCUGCAGAAUAGUUGUGUGUGUUGUUUGUGUCCCAGUCCCAGUUCUGGUCCUGGAGUCCUGGUCCGGUCUGAAUGUUCAGUGUGUUUGUGUUUCAGCGGUUCCUGGUUCUUCUUGGACUUGGACUCAGACCUGUUCAGUCCUGGGUUAGGGUUGGGGUUCUUCAGGUUCCCUUUUGUCUCUGUUCAUAUCUGAGGUAUUUUUUUUGGACUUCUUGUAUGAUUUGGUUUUGUCGCUGCCCCACUGUCGUUUUGUUUUAAUGUGAAGAAGAUUGAAUGUGAGCUGCAGACAGAUAUGUGAGUUUUGGAUGGACACAUUUACAACAUGUGUCAGUGAUUCAAUUCCCUUUAAUAUUUUUUAGGGAUGGAACCAGAUGAACAUUUCAGAUCACAGUUAUUGGGACUAAAAUUAUCACAGUUCUCAUUAU